rnacentral:rRNA from 1 species
GUGCAGCAGGCGCGAAAACUUUACAAUGUGCGAAAGCACGAUAAGGGAACUCUGAGUGCCUCCUACGGAGGCUGUUCAGGUGCCUAAAACACACCUGAAGGAAGGGCUGGGUAAGACCGGUGCCAGCCGCCGCGGUAACACCGGCAGCCCAAGUGGUAGCCAACUUUUAUUGGGUCUAAAGCGUCCGUAGCCGGCCAGGUAAGUUCCGUGGGAAAUUUGGCCGCUUAACGGUCAAACUACCAGGGAAUACUGCCUGGCUUGGGACUGGGAGAGGGCAGAGGUACUCCAGGGGUAGGGUGAAAUCC